UCGAGGCCUGGGCGGCACUUGUUUCCGGGCUGUGGGCUCCAGCUCUCCCGCGGCCUCUGAGUAGCGGACGGGAGGCUGACCUCCCCUGUCUUGACAGCUGCCCAGGGGCAAAGCCCGCCCGAGGUGCCCGCUUCCAAGGCUGCCCUCGCUGCAGGGGCUGCACGUUCCCACUGGGGCCGGGACAGAAGCCUGGAGAGGCCCCCUGGCGGCCGUGACCUUGGUGUCCGAGCCUCAGCUCAUCGUCCUGUGGGCUCGGGGCAACAACACGGCUCCAGGGCCAGCGCAGAUCAAUGAAGGCAAAACCAGGAGAUCCCAUAAAUCCUGCUGUACCUGUCCUCGCUGUCAAAUUAUGCCCUGAUAAAGCUUCUCUUGGCUAAUGAUAUGGCCAUCACCCAGAAGGGAUGCGGGUAGGAGGGGCUUUCCAAGAGCAUCUGCCCCACCGCGGGGACACUUGUCAUCAGCGUCACCUGGAGGCUCUGUGGCUCCAGUGAAGGGUGAUUCUUUGAACAUCAUUUUCUCUAAAAACAAAUAAGAAUGACAAUUUAAAAAUAAACAAAGAUGUGGAUUUAAAGGCUA